UUUCAAAAUCAUGAUUUAUACUACAUAAUAUCAUGACUACUUAUCAGCAUGAACAGCUGAAAUCUGGUAACAUUACCUCAGCCCGUACAAAGAGGAACAUUUCAAACUUUGGUCUUGAAGGAAAUUCUUGUAAAAAAAAUGCAAAAAGAUUUAUUUUAGUUUCUUUCAAAAAAAAUAUGAAAUCACCUGAAUGUAUCAGAGGUAUACAAUUCCAAAUGUAUUGAUUUUGCAGUGUGUGUCAGCCUUCUCAGGGGCAGCAUAUGACUGGACACCCACUUUGUAGACUUGAGAAAAAUGACACCGUAGAUCCUGUAGGAAGUAACACAAACUACACUGCCUCAUUCUGUUUUGUGUAAGGAUAUCAGGAAAAACGACAGCAGGAAACCACUCACGUGCUCGUAAUAGGGCGGCAGAUCGAACGUGUGGCACUGCUUCAGGACCUCCCUGUAAGGGUAAGCGUCAUGAGGGGCCGUUCCAAAGGCUCCCUUCCAGUCGUAGGGCAGGAGUGCCAAAGGGCUUGGCGUGAAGAACCCGGGGCGUUCCCAGCCCAGAGAUUCCUCCCAGAAACAGCCAGCUUCUGUGAGCUCCUGCAGAGGAACAGUAAAUGUGAUUUUCGUAUGAAACCCCAAAGCCAAAAGUUCAAAAUAAACUGUCCAAUCAGUCAACGAUUCCAUUGCGAUAAUAUCGGAUAAUCGUCUCCCGAGUGAGAAACAGCAGCAACUCGCUCAUACAAAG